GCUGCUGUGAUUUUAAAGGAAGUGUUCCUGAUGGUAUAGUCUGUUCCUAUAUACUGUUUUAAAGGAAAAGGGGCUGACGAGCCACUGGAGCGUUGGCGGUGGGGCAGUGUGGCAGUGCUAAGGUCCUAAGAAGCCCUGUAGCCACACAGACAGGCUGACACAGCGAUGGACAUACGGACAGAGAGGUGGACACAAAGCACACAUUUGAAAGACAGAGUGAUUUACUGACCUUUAGUGCAUGUGCAGAAAGAAGCUCAGACCAGAAUUUUGUUGAAGGUGUUUCCGCAUCAAGUACAUCAAAUCGUCUGCGGGAGGAGAUCCCUCAGCGAGAUGUGUUGAGGUUUGGUUUGGUGUGCUGAUAGAAAAUAGAAGAAAGUGAAAAUAAAAUAAGACCAGCUAUGACUGAGCUGCCAGGCUGGAGGACCUCGGCGUCGUUCUUAGAAGUUUAAGAAGAGUUCAUCAUUUUAUUGAACCUUUUCAAGAAAGUUGUUCAUUCAU